UACGUAGGGCGCAAGCGUUGUCCGGAAUUAUUGGGCGUAAAGAGCUCGUAGGUGGCUUGUCGCGUCUGCCGUGAAAGCCCAUGGCUUAACCCUGGCCUUGCAGUGGAUACGGGCAGACUAGAGGUAGGUAGGGGAGAAUGGAAUUCCCGGUGUAGCGGUGAAAUGCGCAGAUAUCGGGAGGAACACCGGUGGCGAAGGCGGUUCUCUGGGCCUUACCUGACGCUGAGGAGCGAAAGCGUGGGGAGCGAACAGG
rnacentral:rRNA from 1 species